GCCCCCAUCGUCUAGAGGCCCAGGACGCGGCCCUUUCAAGGCCUAAACCGGGGUUCGAAUCCCCGUGGGGGCA
rnacentral:tRNA from 2 species